AUGAAUGCAGAAAUUACUAGACAGCUGUGAACAAAUGUUUGUCCAGGGUGGCCAGCAUGCUGGACAAUGGUUCAUGUUUUAUGAGUCCAGAGAUCGACAACUUCAGGAUACUUGGCUACAGAUCUUCCACCAUCUGGCUCUCUCUCUGUCUGCUUUCCUGUCUGAAAACUGAAUAAAGGCCACUAGUCCCACAAAGCAGCAUAUAAAAAAACCAUCUAAUUUAAUGAAUGGUUUGAAGACAGCAGUUAUUUGUUUUCCAUGUUAGCUAGACAUCACAUCCACAACAGUUCAUUAUAUAAAACUUAGCCUUCAGCAAUACUUGUAAAUUCUUACACACUUUAUUAAUCUUCUUGAGUGUCAAUGCACUAGCAAGGUUAAUAACUUACACAUUUUCUUUCAUCUCAAAUGAAUGACUCAUGUACUUUUUUGAUAUCUCAAAUAGAGUAUUGUGCAAAAGUUUACUAAAAAUCAGGGGGAGCGACUUCCGGUUAUGGCGUCUUGCUGAGCGGUUGGUUGCUGGGAUCUGAGCUCCGACCAAUAUUUCCUUUCUUUGGAUAUUUACACCACUGCUAAGUUAUUUUUUGUAAGAAUAUAAGUUAAAAGACUCAAUUCAAUAUUCCAAGAUGCCGAUUAAAAACAAGUUAAAAGUGAAAACAACCCCCAAAGAGGGAGCCGAAGAUGACGCUAGCAGCUAAGUGGAAACCUAGCACAUGGAGGGGGCUAGCGCUAGCUCCCAGGUUCCUGAAACUAACCUCAUGGAAGCGAUCCAAGCCUUAAAAUCUCAUUUCUCCACGCAGCUACGUGAGAUUAUAACUUCAAACCAAGAAAUUAAAGACACAAUUGGAGUGUUCCUCGAGAGGCUUACCUCUGGAGGAUAGCGUUGCCUCGCUAACAAACAAAGAAGCGACCUCAAAGAAGAAAAUCCAAGAGCUCACUUUGAAGGUGGAUGUGCUUGAAAAUGACUACCGGAGACCUAAUCUAAGACUUGUGGGAUUACCCGAGAAAACAGAGCAAGGGGACAUCGCAACUUUUCUCCAGAACUGGUUGAUGGAGGUUCUGGGGAGGGAUGCAUUUCCAUCUCCCCCCAUUAACGAAUGGGCUCACAGGCUGCAGGGGCAGAGCUCUCCAGGCGCCCCGCCACGAAUGAUCAUCAUAAAAUCCCUAAACUACCAAGACAAGAUGAAUGAUGACAGCAGCCCGUCUGAAAGGAAAGGAUGGCCAGCUCUGUCCUGGGUUGCUCCCUUGACCCAGUUCAGGCGACCGGAAGCAGAAUCACUCUGGAUAAAAUGGCAUCACUGUUGCACAAUGUCUCUCACCCCGUGAACGAAGACGUUACAGAACAGGAGAGCUCCUUUUGUGACAGACUGUUGCAUCCGAGGUGCACAAAGGAGCCUUACUGUAGGUGCUUCCUCCCAGCAGCUGUAAGACUCAAACAUCCAACAAACUGUUUUUUUUUUCCUACGGCUUUUAGCAUUUUGAAUAAUAUUCCUGCUCUAAUUUUCACAUCUCUGUUGUAUUUAAAAAAAAACAACAAAAAAAAGUAUCCAAUUUACGGUAAAAUACCGACAGUUGUGGUUGCCAGAACGUUACCAUAAAUAUGGUAAAAUAUCAAAGCUGUUUAGAAACCCAUCACCAGCUGCAUGUUUAUAAAUCCAGCUAGUGAAAUUCCUGUUUGCACUUCCAUUUAUAAGACAUGAGCAUGUUUGUUUUUUUUCUGUAUCACCAGAUGCUAUUUAUAAACUCUGCUUAAAACAGGGGAUAUAAUUCCUCAGUCCAGCUCCAUUUAUAGAUAUUGCCAGGUGUUUUAAUAUCACCAGCUGCAGUUUAAAAACCCUGCUUGGAGCGGCUUGUGGAACUGUGCGCGGACUCGUUUUCAAACUCUGUCCUGCCUUUCCGUGUAAUCACCAGAUGCUGCUCAUGAAUUCUUCUUGAAACGGUGCGCGUAGCUGAUUUGUUGCAGGUUUGUUAACAAACUAUCAGGACUUUCAAUAUCACUGGCUACCGUUUAUGCAUUUCCAUGAAUAAAGCAACAUUUAUAAACCAGAGUAGGAAAAUUAGAACAGAUGUGGACCAAUUAGGAUUUUAUUGUAUUUGCCAGCUGCAUAAAGGGUCACAAAAAUGCAAUGCCAUCCUUCAGAAAACACAGAAAUGAAUGCAAUUCUAAAUAUAGCAGAGGGAGGACCAAAUGUGUACUGGCAGAAAUGUCUAAAAUGAUGCAACAAUAGGGACCAGGUGGCUCCCUGACUGUGGAAAACAAAACCAGUUUUUCUCUUUUUUUGUUUUUUCCUCCAAAGAAUCAGUUAUGAACUGGCUCCAGCUCCAGUGCUAGUUUUGUUUUCAAGCUGCUUUGUAAAACCUAACAGGUAGGGCUAGCAGGGCUCAUCUCAGUACAAAAAGUGGUCUGAAAAGCUGCCUUUUUUCCUCUGAAAGUGGCGUAAUUUUAUUAGUCCAUGUAAAGUGUUUAAACGCCUAACAGGCAAAAAUCCACGAUUAAUUAAUACUAAAAGAGUAACCAGACGUAGGAUGACUUUCAGAAUAAAGCCAUAAGCCAAACAUUUUAUCAGACAAGUCGGCGCUGCGUUUUCCUUUCCUUGCAUUCUUCUCCUCUUCUGUCCAAAUCACACAAAUGAUUCUGAAAGUGAAGCGCAGGCUUCGGGGAGUUGAGGAGAGGUCAAUCUCGCCCUCCGCAUAAUCGUUGUGUUGGAGUGUCUGAUUGUAUUAGGGUUGAGUGAAUAACUGUAGCUGGCAGAAAUAGCAUCAUGUUUUGAACUAUCAGUGCAAUUCAUAGCCUUGUGACUGACUCAGUUUCUAUUCAUUCUCCCACGCUCUUCUGAAACUCUUUUUUUUUUUUUUUUUUUCCUAAAGUGGUUGAAGGACAAACGCGGCACAGCAGCGAGGGUGUGCUGGAAUUAAGAAUGAAUGCGUUGACUGACCAACUAUGAUUAUAGGAGCUGAUCAAAAGCAGGCACUGCAGAACGUGGGCUUCACUUACAAAAGAAAGCAUUUUUUGUUUUACCUGUAAUGUUUUAACGUGUUGUAGGAAAAGGAAGAAAAAAAAACAAAACAGUAUUAGUUGUUGAACUAUCUGUAAGCAGAGGUGUGUUUAUUGACAGUUUGAGGACAAUGCUAACUCUAACUUUGGCUUUACGAGAUGAGAGGCUGCUUUGGCUGUUGCAUUUUACUGAUUUCGGGAGCAACACGGAAGAUUAAAACUUGCUUCUGUGUUUUCUGUAGCAUGACACGAAGUAACAAAUACAAUGGAUUGGAUUAUUUAUUGUGUUUCCUCUCUAAAUAAAAAAAA